UUAAGAAGCAGGAAUACAACGUUCUUUGCUUUUAGCUUUACACUUUUCCAUGUGAGUACCAAAGCAGGCUUUCUUAUACCCCUAUGCCCCUCCAACUACUGAGGCUUUGUUACCUGACCUCUUCAUUUCUUUGGGUUACUUGCCCCCGGGAGAUGCGCCAUCCCUUCAUCCUGACACAUUUCUGAUUGGGGAAGAAAGCUAUGGAAGCAAGGAACCAAUGAGGCCACUGACGUGGUCCAGGCCAGAGAAAGCGGCAGCAAAAUUGAGAGAAGAAAGACAUUGGAUGAUGCUGAUUAAAAGAAAAGAAGAGAGGAGAGGGAAAGAAACAAGAUCCUUGAUAGCUUUGUUGAGCCGCUAAAUCAAACCAACACCGAAGUCCUCCAUUUCUCUGAACCUUCCACUUACAUGAGUCAAUAAAUCCUCUUUAUUGUUUAAG
rnacentral:lncRNA from 1 species